AGGGUUUGAUUAUGGCUCAGAACGAACGCUGGCGGCAGGCCUAAUACAUGCAAGUCGAGCGCGCCCUUCGGGGUGAGCGGCGGACGGGUGAGUAACGCGUGGGAAUAUGCCCUUCUCUAAGGAAUAGCCUCUGGAAACGGAGAGUAAUACCUUAUACGCCCUUUUGGGGAAAGAUUUAUCGGAGAAGGAUUAGCCCGCGUUAGAUUAGGUAGUUGGUGGGGUAAUGGCCUACCAAGCCUACGAUCUAUAGCUGGUUUGAGAGGAUGAUCAGCCACACUGGGACUGAGACACGGCCCAGACUCCUACGGGAGGCAGCAGUAGGGAAUCUUAGACAAUGGGGGCAACCCUGAUCUAGCCAUGCCGCGUGUGUGAUGAAGGCCCUAGGGUCGUAAAGCACUUUCGCCAGAGAUGAUAAUGACAGUAUCUGGUAAAGAAACCCCGGCUAACUCCGUGCCAGCCGCCGCGGUAAUUC
rnacentral:rRNA from 1 species